CAUCACUACGCUAGAUGCAUAUCAAUAAGCGGAGGAAAAGAAACUAACAAGGAUUCCCCUAGUAACGGCGAGUGAAGCGGGAAGAGCUCAAAUUUGAAAUCUUAAAGGUUUUCCCUUGACGAAUUGUAGUUUAAAGAAGUGUUUUCUGUUGGAGUUUUCGGUAAAAGUUCUUUGGAAUAGGACAUCAUAGAGGGUGAGAAUCCCGUAUUUGACCAUUACUUUCCAGCUGUGUGAUACGCUUUCAAAGAGUCGGAUUGUUUGGGAAUGCAGUCCAAAAUGGGUGGUAAAUUUCAUCUAAAGCUAAAUAUUGGCGAGAGACCGAUAGCGAACAAGUACCGUGAGGGAAAGAUGAAAAGAACUUUGAAAAGAGAGUUAAACAGUACGUGAAAUUGUCAAAAGGGAAGCGUUUGACACCAGUGUUGUUUAGUUGAAAAUCAAUUCAAUAAUUUUUGAUUUUAAGUAGUAUUGACUUCAUCAGCUUGCUGCUUUCUUUUCGGAAAUUAUUGAAUGCACUUUUCAGUUAACAAGUCAACAUCAAUUUCUUUUGUUGUAAAAGGGUAAGAGGAAGGUGGCUUACGCUUCGGCGUAAGUGUUUAUAGCCUUUUACCUCUGCAAUCGGAGAGAUUGAGGACAGCAGCGUAGACUCCUUCGGGGGUUAGAUACACUUGUGCUAAGCUAUAGCCUUGUAUAGACAACUUGUUGACUAUGAUUAAUCAUGUAGCUUACUCGCUUAUGCUAUUUUACCUACGCUUAGGAUGUUGAACACGCGCGUGCUCG
rnacentral:rRNA from 1 species